GCCUGUUUAUCAAAAACAUUUUUGGAUAAUAUAUAAGUUUGCCUGCCCAAUGAUUUUAUUCAAUGGCCGCGGUAUUUUGACCGUGCAAAGGUAGCAUAAUCAUUAGUUUUUUAAUUGAAAGCUGGAAUGAAUGGUUUGACGAGAAAAUUACUGUCUCUUUAAGAUAAUUUGAAUUUUAUUUUUUAGUUAAAAAGCUUAAAUAUUUAUAAGGGACGAGAAGACCCUAUAGAAUUUUAUAAUUUAAAUUUUAAUUUUUUAUAGUUUAAGUUGAUUAUUAUAGUUUAAAUUAUUUUGUUGGGGCGACAGGAAAAUUUAUUUAACUUUUUUUUUUUAUUUACAUUAAUUAGUGAAUUUUUGAUCCAAUUUUAUUGAUUAUAAGAGGAAAUUACCUUAGGGAUAACAGCGUUAUUAAUUUGGAGAGUUCAUAUCGAUAAAUUAGUUUGCGACCUCGAUGUUGGAUUAAAAUUAUGUUUAGGUGGAGAUGCUUAAAUAAUAAGUCUGUUCCACUUUUAAAAUUUUACAUGAUCUGAGUUCAGACCGG
rnacentral:rRNA from 1 species